rnacentral:lncRNA from 1 species
AUGGAGAACGGGGAUACUGGAAGCAGAGGAGAGACUGGCAUAAGCAAAGAAGGGCGAUCAAUAGAAGGUUCCCAAAGGAAGGAAGAAUCAGAACUGUGGAGAUUUGUGCUAAGAACCAACAACACAGCUUUGGUUUGUACUAGCUCACAUGGACCAAAGCAAGAGUUUGUUAUAAGUCACCUGACAGUGUCAAGCACUGAAGUAAAUUAGAGAUGACAACAAUUCUUUGAAACUCUUCCUGUUUAGAGUUGGGGUCUGUGACACCUCCCGUUGUAUCUGGGAAGGCUCUGUGAUUGGUUGAACAACAGAAUAUGUGCACAUGAUGCUGUGCCAGUUUUCAGGCCCAGGUCUUAAGAGAAUAGCAGUUUUCAUUCCUUGCUCUUGGAAUACGUGGACUGUCCUGAGCCGCCAUGCUAUGAGGAAGCUCAAGCAGCCACCAUGCUAUGAGGAAGCUGUGAGGCCCAUGUGGAAAGGAACCAAGGCCCUCAGAUGAAUGCCCUAGCUGAGAUACCAGCCAACAACCAGCACCAUCUUGCCAGCUAAGUGAGUGCACCAUCUUGAAUCCUCCAGCCCCAGUGGAGCUGCUUCACCUUAUGCUUCCUGGAACUAAGAUGAGCCAUCCCCUCCGAGCCCUGCCCACAUUGAACAUUCGUGAGCAAAGCAAAUGAUUGUUGUUUAAAGCCUCUCUGUUUUGGGAUAAUUUGUUAUGGAACAACAGUUAACUAGAACAAGUGUACACAGUGGCACCAACAGUGAACUAGACAUGAGGAAGGUCACUGAAGAAGUAAACACAACCCAUGAUGGAAAUCAGUCACAGACACUGCUAUCUGUCCAGUGUAACUCUUCCUCUGUUUCAGCUCAACCAGCCCAUAGAUCCCUGCUUCACUCAUAGGCCAAGUCUGUCUCUUUCAGCUUUGUUGGCAGAUUGGUGCUAUUAGGGAAGAGCUUUGGGCCUCUCUCAAUCCCAGGCAGGGCCCGUGGGCUCAUGACAGACCAGAAGGGAGACAGAUGGGGAUUCCUGGUACUGGGAGCUGCCACUGGCACUUAGCUGAGGAGGGAGGAAGCCUCGUCUGUGCUUCUCU